GUAGGGAAUAUUGGGCAAUGGUCGGAAGACUGACCCAGCCAUGCCGCGUGCAGGAAGACGGCCCUCUGGGUUGUAAACUGCUUUUAUCUGGGAAGAAAAAGGCCAUGCGUGGCAAAUUGCCGGUACCAGAUGAAUAAGCACCGGCUAACUCCGUGCCAGCAGCCGCGGUAAUACGGAGGGUGCGAGCGUUGUCCGGAUUUAUUGGGUUUAAAGGGUGCGUAGGCGGCUGAUUAAGUCAGCGGUGAAAGACUUCGGCUUAACCGGAGCAGUGCCGUUGAUACUGGUUGGCUUGAGUGUCGGAGGGGUACAUGGAAUUGAUGGUGUAGCGGUGAAAUGCAUAGAUACCAUCAGGAACACCGAUAGCGAAGGCAUUGUACUGGCCGACAACUGACGCUGAUGCACGAAAGUGUGGGGAUCGAACAGGAUUAGAAACCCCUGGUAGUCC
rnacentral:rRNA from 1 species